GAUGAACGCUGGCGGCGUGCCUAAUACAUGCAAGUAGAACGAACAGGAGAGGAGCUUGCUCCUCUUACGUUAGCGGCGGACGGGUGAGUAACACGUGGAUAACCUGCCUAUUAGCCGGGGAUAACUUCGGGAAACGGGAGCUAAUACCGCAUAAUAUUGGAUGACACAUGGUUCUAUUGUGAAAGGCGCAUUUGCUGUCCUAUAUAAAUGAAUCGCGGCGGAUUAGCUAGUAUGUGAAGGUAACGGCCUACCAAGGCAACGUUCCGAAGCGGACCUGGAGGGGGGAUCGGCAACCCUGGAACUGGGCCACGGCCCAGACUCCUACGGGAGGCAGCAGAAGGGAAUCUUCCGCAAUGGGGGAAAGCUGGACGGAGCAACGCGGCGUGAGUGAGGAAGGUCUUCGGUUCGUAAAACUCGGUGAUUAGGGAAGAACAAAGGUGUAAGGAACAAUGCACGUCUUGACGGUACCUAAUCAGAAAGCGACGGCUAACUACGUG
rnacentral:rRNA from 1 species